rnacentral:rRNA from 1 species
GUGGGGAAUUUUGGACAAUGGGCGCAAGCCUGAUCCAGCAAUGCCGCGUGCAGGAAGAAGGCCUUCGGGUUGUAAACUGCUUUUGUACGGAACGAAAAGGCUCUGGUUAAUACCUGGGGCUCAUGACGGUACCGUAAGAAUAAGCACCGGCUAACUACGUGCCAGCAGCCGCGGUAAUACGUAGGGUGCAAGCGUUAAUCGGAAUUACUGGGCGUAAAGCGUGCGCAGGCGGUUUUGUAAGACAGACGUGAAAUCCCCGGGCUCAACCUGGGAAUGGCGUUUGUGACUGAAAAGCUGGAGUGCGGCAGAGGGGGAUGGAAUUCCGCGUGUAGCAGUGAAAUGCGUAGAUAUGCGGAGGAACACCGAUGGCGAAGGCAAUCCCCUGGGCCUGCACUGACGCUCAUGCACGAAAGCGUGGGGAGCAAACAGGAUUAGAUACCCCAGUAGUCC